UCAUUGCAAUGUCUAUAUGUCCAUCAGACAGAGUUAACCAGACCUCAACUUCAUUUGAUGAAUCAGUGAUUUAAGUAAAAGUUACAUGAGAAGGUCUGGUUCUCAGAUUCUGUAAUGGUGAAUGAUUAUAUAAAGGUGUACAUGUCUGACUGGUAGGUAUCAUCUGUCCAUGACCUAAUUUUCAUGGUUCAUUGAUCAAUGCCUG
rnacentral:lncRNA from 1 species